rnacentral:rRNA from 1 species
GAUGAACGCUAGCUACAGGCUUAACACAUGCAAGUCGAGGGACCGGCGCACGGGUGAGUAACACGUAUCCAACCUGCCCUUUACUCGGGGAUAGCCUUUCGAAAGAAAGAUUAAUACACGAUGUAACGGAUUGGGUUGCGUUCCAUUAGGUUGUUGGUGAGGUAACGGCUCACCAAGCCUUCGAUGGAUAGGGGUUCUGAGAGGCAUGUCCCCCACAUUGUAGCUGGGACACGGUCCAAACGCCUACGGGAGGCAGCAGUGAGGAAUAUUGGUCAAUGGGCGUUAGCCUGAACCAGCCAAGUAGCGUGAAGGAGGAAGGCUUAUGGGUCGUAAACUUCUUUUAUAUAAGAAUAUGUAUUAUAUGAAUAAGGAUCGGCUAACUCCGUGCCAGCAGCCGCGGUAAUUC